AGAAUCAACGCUGGCGGCGUGCCUAACACAUGCAAGUCGCACGAGAAAGGGUAGCAAUACCUGAGUACAGUGGCGCACGGGUAAGUAACACGUGAAUUAUCUACCUCCGAGUGGGGAAUAACUGAGAGAAAUCUUAGCUAAUACCGCAUAACACUUACGAGUCAAAGCAGCAAUGCGCUUGGAGAGGAGUUCGCGGCAGAUUAGUUAGUUGGCGGGGUAAUGGCCCACCAAGACGAUGAUCUGUA
rnacentral:rRNA from 1 species